rnacentral:rRNA from 1 species
UCAUAUGUACAUGCCUACAAUGUUAAUGCAUCAUAUCCCAUUAGAACUAUACAGUUAAGUGUGUUUGGGCUAGAGUAGUACCGGGAUGGGUGACCUCCCAAGAAGUCCUAAUGUUUUACAUGCC